rnacentral:rRNA from 1 species
GACGAACGCUGGCGGCGUGCUUAACACAUGCAAGUCGAACGGAAAGGCCCUGCUUUUGUGGGGUGCUCGAGUGGCGAACGGGUGAGUAACACGUGAGUAACCUGCCCUUGACUUUGGGAUAACUUCAGGAAACUGGGGCUAAUACCGGAUAGGAGCUCCUGCUGCAUGGGGGGGGUUGGAACGUUUCGGCGGUUGGGGAUGGACUCGCGGCUUAUUAGCUUGUUGGUGGGGUAGUGGCUUACCAAGGCUUUGACGGGUAGCCGGCCCGAGAGGGUGAACGGCGACAAUGGGACUGAGAGACGGAGCAGACGCGUAUGGGAGGCAGCAGGGGGGAAUAUUGCACAACGAGCGGAAGUCUGAUGCAGCAACGUCAGGUGUGUGAUGACGGCCUUCGGGGUGUAAACCGCAUUAGGCUGUGACGAAGCGGGAGUGACGGUAAUGGGUAAAGAAGCACCGGCUAACUACGUG